UUAAGUUCAGCGGGUAUCCCUACCUGAUCCGAGGUCAAAAGUGGAGAGGCUUGAUGGACGCUAACAUUCUAGGCUAGAAUUGCAAAAUGUGCUGCGCUUCUAUACCAAAACACUGGCUGCCAAUUGCUUUUAGGUGAGUCUAAUGGCAAGCCUAGACAAACACCCAACACCAAGCAGAGCUUGAGGAUACAAAUGACGCU
rnacentral:misc_RNA from 1 species